GCGCGAGCUCGUGGGUCUGCGGGUUCUUGAAGAUGCCGGCCUCCGCCCAGCCGCCUGCCACGAAGAGCACCGCGCAGUCGGCCUGCACCGCGGGGAUACACAAACACACCGGGUUGCGGGAGGGGGCAUCGGACUGACUUUGGGAGGUUCCGAAUCCCAUUGUAAAGCUGGGGAAUGCCCUCCAGAACUCAGAUGGCCAAAUGGGAUUCAUGGACCACCCUAGAUGCGGUGCAUGGGGGUCCUGCUUCCCAGUUCCUCUCAUUUAAUCUCAUCUAAAUCAGCUUUUAGUCCCUUCUUUCUGGACCAACUGAUCUACUAGUCUGAGUGUAAGAAAACCUGGUCCCUCUAGGCCCCCCCAGGACAACAGGAUCUGAGCUUCAUGAGAGUGAUGGGACUUUCAGUCCUGUCCUCCCUAAUUCUUUCAGGAUUGAUGGAUGAUGGCCAUAGGUGAGGAAAAGGCUUACAAGCCUUAUGAUACCUUCCUUCUCCAAGCUUCAGAAAUAAAUCUUGAGUUUCCCCCUCUAUAGGAAUGUUUCUGAAGGCAUGGACUGCUUUACCUGGGAAGUGCCCCUGAUCAUGGUCAUGAUGAAGUCUCUGUGGCCUGGAGCAUCGAUGAUAAUGCUGUAAUCCUUUUCCUUCCCGUCUCCACAUGUCCAGAAGUUUGGUCCCCAUAAAAUUACAGUGGGCUGGGCACAGUUGCUCACGCCUGUAAUCUCAGCACUUUGGGAGCCUGAAGCAGGAGGAUCACUUGAACUUAGGAAAAGAAGGCCAGCCUGGGCAAUAUGAUUUAACCCAUCUCUACAAAAAAUUAAAAAUAGAGAAAAGAAAAAUUAGCCAGGCACAGUAGUGUGCACCUGAGGGGGCUGAAGUGGGAGAAUCACUUGAGCCUGGGAAGCAGAGGUUGCAGUGUGCCAAGAUCACAUGACUGCACUCCAUUCUGGGUGACAGAGUGAAACACUAAGUCCUCCACUGCUGGCAAGGUCACCAAGUUUGCAGCAAAAGCCAGCAAGAAAUGAAGCCCACCCUCCUCUCUGCAGUGUCCUCAGCUCCUCCUUCCCCCCCAAUAACUAAACAUUCAAUGAAUGUAUGUAUUUCCUAAAUAAAGUGGAUAAAACUUGACUAGCUGCCCUGGUUUCUUUCAAAGAAGAAAGCAUGGGUAGAUGGAGAACUUCUAGGCAGGAUAAUUAUUAUUUAAAGCCCAUAGGCUUCCCAGGGUCAU
rnacentral:lncRNA from 1 species